GUACUGAGGGGAGACGUUCGGUUAGGUUAAGGGAGAGAAUGAGUACUGAGGGGAGACGUUCGGUUAGGUUAAGGGAGAGAAUGAGUACUGAGGGGAGACGUUCGGUUAAGGGAGAGAAUGAGUACUGAGGGGAAGACAUUAGGUUAGGUUAGGUUAAGGGAGAGAAUGAGUACUGAAAGGAAAAAGGAAAGUUUCGUUUAGUCGGCGCAACAUCUGUGGCCAUAUGCCGGAGAGAGACAGAAGGGGAAGGAAUUAUAGGAGAAGGGAGCAGAUCCCAGGAGACGGGACACAACCCCCGAUUAAUACCUGGUACCCAUUCACUGUUGGGUGGACAGGGGCGUAGGGUAUCGGAAAAGCAGCCCAAAUUUUUCCACUCCGCCUGGGAAUCGAACCCGAGCUCUCUCAGUUGUGAGCCGAGUGUGCUAACCACUGCACCACGAAGCCCCCCGAAUGAAUACUGAGGGUAAGACGUUAGGUUAAAUUAGGUUAGUUAAGGGUGAGAAUGAGUUACUGAGGCUAGGAGAGUGAUUUUGCGGCCUUGUGAGUGAUACUGCAUUGUUGUAGAUAGACGGAGAGUGAAGACGGUAUUAAAAAGUAUAUUAAAAGGACGAAGAUAAGUAUAGAGGGAAGGAGUAAGGCAAGAAUGACAGUGGGAUAGGAAGAGCAAGGGAAAAGAAAAACAAGGAGAGCAAUUUAGUAAAGAGAAAGUGGGAGGAUAGAGAAUGGAGAGGAUAUUAAACACUGAGAGGAGGAAGGGCAAGGGUGAGAGAGAUGUAUAUAUAGAGUAAAACAGAAAUAAGAAGAGCAAAGGGGAAAAAAAAGCGAGGAGAGGGAAGAGGAGGAAGAGGACAGGAUUAAAAAAGAGGAUCAGUACAGAGAGAGGGAUAAAGAGCAAGGGUAACUGUUUUAAAGGGAGGGAGCAUAACAGAACAGGCGCAAAGGGAAAGAGAAGAGAGGAAAAUGAGACUUAAUAGGGAGAAAGAGGGGAAGAAAGGGAUGAGGAUAAGGGGAGGGGAUUAGCAAGUGAUUGGACGCAUGGGUGCACAUGAUAUGGGUGAGGGGGAGGAGGGGGAACGGUCGGGUGGUGCCAUGGCGGGGAAUUGAUGUCGGUAAGUGGGUGUUCUGGGAAGUGUGGAAGAAGGGACGAGGGAAGGGGAGGUGGGGUGCUGGGGUGGAGUUAUGGAGAAGCGCUGACGUGGUUGUUUGGUGGAAUUUGGGGAGAGAGAGGAG